rnacentral:misc_RNA from 1 species
AAGAACAAAAGAGCAUAUCAACAUUCACCAGAAAGAAAAAAAGAAUAUACUAUGGCUAGUAAGGGAAUUUUCCUUUCAGGUUUAACCUUUAUUUUCAUUGGAAUCCUGGAGCUGGCUUUCAUUUCUUUCCCAGCAGAAGCUGCCAUAAAGAAAUAUCAGUUUGAUAUUCAAGUGAGGAAUGUGAGUAGAUUGUGCCAUGCAAAACCAAUUGUCACUGUAAAUGGGAGGUUUCCAGGGCCUACAAUUUAUGUAAGAGAAGGAGAUCGGGUUCUUGUCAAUGUCACCAAUUAUGCCCAAUAUAACAUGUCAAUUCACUGGCAUGGACUGAAGCAAUAUCGCAAUGGGUGGGCAGAUGGACCAGCUUAUAUAACCCAGUGUCCAAUUCAGAAAGGAAGUAGCUACAAUUAUGACUUCAAUGUCACAGGGCAGAGAGGGACCUUAUGGUGGCACGCACAUAUUUUUUGGCUAAGGGCUACAGUUUAUGGUGCAAUUGUCAUUAUGCCUAAACAAGGAACUCCAUAUCCUUUCCCACGGCCAAAUAUGGAAUUCAAUAUUGUCUUAGGAGAAUGGUGGAACACUGAUGUGGAGGAGGUUGUAAGGCAAGGAACCAAAAUGGGCUUGCCUCCAAACAUGUCUGACGCACACACAAUCAACGGGAAGCCAGGGCCUCUCUUUCCUUGUUCUGAGAAAUGUAAGCGAAAUUUCCUACCUCAUAGAGAAUGCUUCAAGCGAUAGCAUCUAACAGUAGUUCCACUAAUUUCUUUAACACUAAAAUAAUUGUGGCCAAUCAGGUGUAACCUAAUUAAUUAUAAGCGAUUUUGAGUUCGAAUCUCUCCAUCCAUCUUAGGUGUUAAGUGCUAUGGUCUUUCAUUUUUGCUAUUGUUUGUUUUAGAUACUUUUGCAAUGGAGGUUGAACCAGGGAAGACAUACCUCCUCAGAAUUGUGAAUGCCGCCCUCAAUGAUGAGCUUUUCUUUGGCAUUUCUGGCCACACCAUGACAGUGGUGGAGGUUGAUGCAGUUUAUACAAAGCCAUUUACCACUCAAACUAUACUAAUUGCACCUGGCCAGACCACAAAUAUUCUGGUGAAAGCCAACCAAGUUCCAGGCAGAUAUUUCAUGGCUACUAGGCCUUUCAUAGAUGUUCCUCUUCCUAUCGACAAUAAAACAGCCACAGCAAUUCUCCAAUACAAAGGCAUUCCAAACACUGUCCUCCCAUCUCUUCCUCAAUUGCCUGCACCAAAUGACACAGAAUUUGCUUUAAGCUACAACAGAAAGCUUAGAAGCUUGAACUCUCCUCAGUUUCCAGCCAAUUUACCCCUCAAAGUCGAUCGAAAACUCUUCUACACUAUCGGUUUUGGUAAAGAUUCCUGCCCAACUUGCGCUAAUGGAACACGCCUGCUAGCUUCUUUGAACAAUAUCUCCUUUGUUAUGCCUCAAACUGCUCUUCUUCAAGCUCAUUACUUCAACCUCACAGGAGUUUUCAGGACUGAUUUCCCUGACAAGCCUCCUACUCCUUUCAACUACACUGGUGCACCACUUACCGCCAGUCUUGGAACUGUCCAUGGCACCAAGCCUAGCCUCAGCAAGAUUGCAUUUAAUUCUACGGUUGAGCUAGUUCUACAGGAUACCAACUUGCUAACGGUUGAGUCACAUCCCUUCCAUCUUCAUGGAUAUAAUUUCUUUGUUGUUGGUACUGGAAUUGGAAAUUUUGAUCCUGUCAAAGACCCUGCUAAAUAUAACCUGGUUGAUCCCAUUGAGAGAAAUACAGUUGGUGUUCCUACUGGGGGAUGGACUGCUAUUCGGUUUAGAGCUGACAAUCCAGGUGUUUGGUUUAUGCAUUGUCAUUUGGAG